rnacentral:lncRNA from 1 species
AGGAAGUUCUGGCCAAGCAGAUGUCAGUGCAAGUCCUCUGAGUGGGGCUUUGGGAAAGCUUUUAUUGAUCUGUUAAAAGAGUCCAGGUUCAGCACUUUCCUCUCUUGUUCCUGUACCCUUUCACCCAUUUCCUUCACAGAGAACAAGCUCCAAGUCUGAAAUCUCAGGAAAAAGGGACACUCAUGGAGACAAAGGCCUGGGAGGAAGGACUUGGCAAGACAUACAGCAAGUUUCCAAAGGACAUCAAAGCAAGCGAGUAGUAAAAAGUCC